UACGUAGGGGGCGAGCGUUGUCCGAAGUUACUGGGCGUAAAGCGCGUGUAGGCGGUUCGGUAAGUCUGCUGUGAAAGUCGGGGGCUCAACCCUCGAAUGCCGGUGGAUACUGUCGGACUAGAGUGCGGAAGAGGCGAGUGGAAUUCCUGGUGUAGCGGUGAAAUGCGCAGAUAUCAGGAGGAACACCAAUUGCGAAGGCAGCUCGCUGGGACGUUACUGACGCUGAGACGCGAAAGCGUGGGGAGCAAACAGG
rnacentral:rRNA from 1 species